CAGGCCUCAUUUAAGGGUUGGCAGUGGGGGCAAGGGUGUUUUGCUGGAGAUCCAUGUGAAUCUGAGGCCUUUUGAAGUGAAUUUCCCAAUGAGUUGGUGCUGGAAUUGAAAACCCAUCAGCCACAAUCCUGCAUGUGUGAGAGAAAAAGUCCCCUGGUAUCCAUCCCUACCUAAGGAGUGGAGUGAUACAAAUCAGGAUAUGUAAAUUUGAGCAAUGGAUCUUAAUUAUGAGCAGCAGGUGUCUGUGCAAGAGUGCUCAGAAAUCUUGGAGAUACGUCUGCAAGCUUAAGAUGUCACCCUCCUCUCCAUUUGCAAAUCUUUUGAAGCCAGGAAUAUUUCUGCAUGAGGACUGAAGCACCUCCAGUUGUUUAGAGGAAAUGUUAUCGCACAACAGCGGACAAAACAGAUGAGUCGCUUUACAACAGGAUGCACGAAGGAAGCCUCCAAGAAUGCCCAAAGUUUCCAUAGCUGAACUAUUUCCAUUAACGUGGAGUGAUGCGAUGCCUGAUAUAAGUGAUCUACUUGAGACAGAGUAGAUUAUGUUUGCUUUACGUUUGCUUUAAUUAUCAUUUCAAUAAUAGUAAUUCUGAUGAGAAAUGUAUCGCAAGUGCUGAACAGAUUGCUGUGAAGACGGUGUCCAUAUUUUGCUUAGGAUCAUACACAAAACCUCGGGAAUUUGGAAUAAAAGGAGAAGUUAUUCUUUCAAUUUUGUGGCUGGAGAAGCCUAAAGUUAAGAGACCAAAUGACAUAUUCAGGCUUACUUGGGAAGUGGGAAAGGAGUUUUGAAUGGAGCCCAGGUUUAAGUCUCAGGGUGCAGUUUCAUAGAGCAAUUCCCACAGAAAAGAGAUCUCAUUUCCUCCUGUCUGCCAGUACUGGUCCCUGUCAGACUAUCCACGGAGCCAUAUCGAGGGAUCCAAGCAGCAAUCCCACCUCACCCCUGCAGUGAAAUAUGGAUUGGGUUUCUCCUUACCAGCAAGCAAGUGUAGAAUAGAGAAGUUGUGGGUACUUGGGAAUGACAUAAAGUGGCAGCAAAUAGCAUUUGUAUUGUAUGUAUUUAUCACUUCCCAUCACUUGUCAAUCAGUAAAAUAACUUACUUCAUCCAUUGAUCCAAAUAUAAGUACGAAAAAUAAACAAAUUAGCUGCCCUUUGCUUGGUCUUCAUGGAAUAAAAGUCUUCUGCUAUUUACAGAGCCCGAUGUUCCCGUUUCCCUUGAAGUGCUGAACUCUCUUUACUGGCCCGCUUAUUAGUAAC
rnacentral:lncRNA from 1 species